GGAGCCUGCGGCUUAAUUUGACUCAACACGGGAAAACUCACCCGGCCCGGACACCGUAACAAUUGACAGAUUGAAAGCUCUUUCUCGAUUUGGUGGUUGGUGGUGCAUGGCCGUUCUUAGUUGGUGGAGCGAUUUGUCUGGUUUAUUCCAAUAACGAGCGAAACUCUAGUCUGCUAAACAGUGGCUGGAUUGAUUUUCUCUCGAAUAUGUCCAGUCUACUUCUUAGAGGAAUAAGCGGUGUUUAGCCGCAGGAGAUUGAGCGACAACAGGUCUGUGAUGCCCUCAGAUGUUCGGGGCUGCACAAUGGAAGAAACAGCUGACUUGUGUUUCUGCUGUUGUGUAGGAUUCGUCGACCCGACCAACGCACCAGAAGUUGUGUAGGUUUUUCGUGUUUGUGUGCUCUUCGUAAAUUGGCCUGCCACGAGG
rnacentral:ncRNA from 1 species